rnacentral:rRNA from 1 species
CCUACGGGGGGCAGCAGUGAGGAAUAUUGGUCAAUGGCCGUAAGGCUGAACCAGCCAAGCCGCGUGAAGGAAGAAGGAUCUAUGGUUUGUAAACUUCUUUUAUAGGGGAAUAAAGGUAUCCACGUGUGGAGAUUUGCAUGUACCCUAUGAAUAAGCAUCGGCUAACUCCGUGCCAGCAGCCGCGGUAAUACGGAGGAUGCGAGCGUUAUCCGGAUUUAUUGGGUUUAAAGGGUGCGUAGGUUGUUUAUUAAGUCUGCGGUGAAAGUUUGUGGCUCAACCAGAAAAUUGCCGUUGAAACUGGAGGGCUUGAGUGUAUUUGAGGUAGGCGGAAUGCGUGGUGUAGCGGUGAAAUGCAUAGAGAUCACGCAGAACACCGAUUGCGAAGGCAGCUUACUAAGCUAUAACUGACGCUGAGGCACGAAAGCGUGGGGAGCAAACAGGAUUAGAUACCCGAGUAGUC